rnacentral:rRNA from 1 species
GCACAGCGAUGUGUGGAGUUGACUGUUACUAAUCGGUCGAAAGCUUGACCAA